GAACAAGUUAAUGACUGUGAUGAGGAAGACAGGAGCAUACAAGAGGGACAAUGUUCAUCUACUGUUGAUGCUUCAGCCGAGGUGGCACUUCCUCCUACCGAGAGGAAUAUGUCACACAAAAGAGGCAAACCAUCAUCAGAAGUGCCGAUGCCUUCAGGAGCCAGUGCUAUGAGACCGCCUUGCAAAGGUAAAAGUAGCCAGAAGAAAGCUCCCUGGCAGCAGGCAGAGGUGGAGGCGGUGGAAAGGAACCUGAAGUCAUUCAUCAUAUCUGGCACUGUACCAGCAAAGAGUGACUGUGAGAAAUGCUUGAAAGCUGAACCAGAAGCUCUGAGGAACCGCGAUUGGAAGACUGUAAAAUUGUAUGUUUAUAAUCGCAUUACAGCUUACAAAAAUAAAUUGCAGUGUAGAUAAUACUGUAAAGAUGCAACUAUCUGGCAUGGCAAGUUUUGUUAAAGCCACA